ACAAUCGGAAGAAGAAGAGAACAAAAGCAGAAAUGAGGAAAAGCGCACCAGGAACCAUAGCCGCUGCAUGGAGCCUUCCAAAAGACCAAAAAGGAAGAAAUGAGCCGCAAAAUCACAGCGAAACAAUCAACUGUAGAUGAAGCUUCCGCGCUUUAUGUAGUUUAGAUUAGAUGAAGGAGCCAGAAAAAUCCCGAAACUAGCUUCAACCCUCUUAUCAGUCACGUAGUUCCGCACUCUACCUCUGCACCCAUUAUCCAUUUUCAAGCUGGUUCUAUUAUUCUGGUGGAUGCAAAAUUCCAUACAGCUCUGCCCUUUCGUCCAUUCUUCCAUUUUCAGUUGAUGUUUAUUUAACCAUCAUUUGCGUUGUUAAAUUUGCUGAAUCUUUUGUAUUUCUUUAUUCUCGGUUGCGUAUCGUGGGUUAAUUUUCGCCAUUACUUCCAGAUUUGUUUGUUUAGAGAGACGUAUUGUGAGAAUUAGGUUAGGGUUUCGAUCAGGGUUAGGGUUAGGGUUUAUUGUUGAAGCUCCAAUUUCUGUAUAACUUGAAGAGAUGGACUCAGAAGGUAGUGAGAUUAAGAGAACCCAAGAGGAGAGGAAGAAGAUGGAGCAAGACCUGGCUUCCCUCACGUCAGUUACGUUUGAUACCGACUUGUACAGCGCUGACCGUUUCGAGGGCUAUGAGAGGUCAAUUCCGGUGAAUGACGAUGACGACACAGCGGACGGUCCUGAUAACGAGAUAGCUCGGAAGCUGAAUUCUUAUACUGCUCCAAAAGAGUUUUUCAAGGAUGCUCCGAGGCCCGGGAAUGAGGAUGACCUCGGGUUUAAGCAGCCGAGCAGAAUUAUUGACCGGGAGGAUGAGUAUAGGAAGAGGAGGUUGAACCGGGUGAUAUCUCCGGAGAGGGUUGACCCUUUCCUGGAUAAAACCCCAGGGCCGGACAUGAGGUCGUAUGCUGAUGUCAUGAAGGAGGAGGCUUUGAAGAGGCAGAAGGAUGAUGUGCUGAAAGCAAUAGCGAAGAAGAAGGAGGAAGAAGCAGUUAAGCCAGUAAGCAAAGAGAAGGAAGCGGAGAAACCCAAGAAGAGAAAUCGGUGGGAUCAGUCGCAGGAUGACACUAGUGCAAAGAAAGCUAAGGGAGGUUCUGAUUGGGAUUUGCCGGAUUCAACUCCUGGAAUUGGGAGUGGUAGGUGGGAUGCGACUCCAACACCCGGGAGGAUUGGGGAUGCGACUCCUUCUGUGAGGAAGAAUAGGUGGGAUGAGACUCCAACCCCUGGGAGAUUGGCUGAUUCGGAUGUCACCCCUGCUGGGGGAGUUACUCCUGGUGCUACCCCUGCUGGGAUGACUUGGGAUGCAACUCCAAAGCUGGCUGGGCUAGCGACCCCUACACCUAAAAGGCAGAGAUCAAGGUGGGAUGAGACUCCUGCUACUAUGGGUAGCGCAACACCGAUGUCCAAUGCUACCCCUGCUGCGGCAGCAACCCCUGGUGUGACCCCCUUUGGAGGAGCUGAUCUUACUACGCCAACUCCAAGUGCUAUUAAUCUGCGGGGUGCAAUUACGCCAGAGCAGUAUAAUUUGCUGAGGUGGGAGAAGGAUAUUGAGGACAGGAAUCGUCCAUUGACCGAUGAAGAGUUGGAUGCUAUGUUUCCCCAGGAGGGCUACAAAAUUUUGGAGCCCCCAGCUUCCUAUGUCCCAAUUAGAACUCCUGCUAGGAAGCUUCUUGCCACCCCAACGCCGAUUGGCACACCUCUGUAUAAUAUCCCUGAAGAAAAUCGAGGUCAGCAGUUUGAUGUGCCGAAAGAGAUGCCUGGUGGACUGCCUUUCAUGAAGCCUGAAGACUAUCAAUAUUUUGGUGCACUGUUGAAUGAAGAAAACGAUGAGGAAUUGUCUAUGGAAGAGCAGAAAGAACGAAAGAUAAUGAAACUGCUGCUCAAGGUUAAGAAUGGCACGCCACCUCAGAGGAAAACAGCUCUGCGGCAGUUAACUGAUAAGGCCAGAGAGUUUGGUGCUGGGCCACUGUUCAAUCGGAUUCUUCCGUUGCUCAUGCAACCAACAUUGGAGGACCAAGAAAGACAUUUACUGGUGAAGGUCAUUGAUAGGGUGCUUUACAAAUUGGAUGAGUUGGUGCGUCCAUAUGUGCACAAAAUUCUUGUGGUGAUCGAGCCGUUGCUGAUUGAUGAGGAUUAUUAUGCCCGUGUAGAAGGUAGGGAAAUUAUCUCCAAUCUCAGCAAGGCUGCUGGGUUGGCAACUAUGAUUGCUGCAAUGCGCCCUGAUAUUGACAAUAUCGAUGAGUAUGUAAGAAACACUACUGCAAGAGCAUUCAGUGUUGUUGCCUCUGCACUUGGAAUUCCUGCUUUGUUACCUUUUCUGAAGGCAGUGUGUCAGAGUAAGAAGUCUUGGCAAGCCCGUCACACAGGUAUCAAAAUAGUUCAGCAGAUUGCUAUUUUGAUUGGUUGUGCUGUUCUUCCACACUUGAGGUCUCUUGUAGAAAUCAUAGAACAUGGUCUUAAUGAUGAGAAUCAGAAGGUUAGAACUAUCACAGCUCUUUCCCUUGCUGCUCUUGCUGAGGCAGCUGCCCCAUAUGGUAUUGAGAGCUUCGAUUCAGUGUUGAAGCCUCUCUGGAAGGGUAUUAGAUCUCACCGAGGGAAGGUUUUGGCAGCCUUUUUGAAAGCCAUCGGUUUCAUCAUCCCUCUCAUGGAUGCUAUAUAUGCUAGUUACUAUACCAAGGAAGUGAUGCAUAUACUGAUCCGUGAGUUUCAGUCGCCUGAUGAAGAAAUGAAGAAAAUUGUUUUAAAAGUUGUGAAGCAGUGUGUGAGCACUGAAGGUGUUGAGCCAGACUACAUCAGGAAUGACAUUCUCCCUGAGUUCUUCCGCAACUUCUGGGUGAGAAGAAUGGCUUUGGACCGCAGAAAUUACAGGCAACUUGUUGAUACUACUGUUGAGAUAGCAAACAAAGUUGGGGUUGCUGAUAUAGUGGGUAGGAUUGUUGAAGAUCUCAAGGAUGAGAGUGAGCCUUAUAGGAGGAUGGUCAUGGAGACAAUUGAAAAGGUGGUUGCAAAUCUGGGCGCGUCUGAUAUUGAUGCUCGCUUAGAAGAGCUGUUGAUUGAUGGGAUUCUCUACGCGUUCCAAGAGCAAACCAGUGAUGAUGCAAAUGUGAUGUUGAAUGGUUUUGGAGCUGUUGUUAAUGCUCUUGGGCAGAGAGUGAAGCCUUACCUUCCGCAAAUAUGUGGGACUAUUAAAUGGCGUUUAAAUAAUAAGAGUGCAAAGGUCAGACAACAAGCUGCAGAUCUUAUAUCAAGGAUUGCUGUGGUGAUGAAGCAGUGUGGAGAAGAACAACUCAUGGGCCAUCUUGGUGUCGUUUUGUACGAGUAUUUGGGGGAAGAGUACCCAGAAGUUCUGGGAUCAAUAUUGGGUGCUCUGAAAGCUAUUGUUAAUGUCAUUGGUAUGACUAAAAUGACUCCUCCAAUAAAGGAUUUACUUCCUCGCUUGACUCCAAUUUUGAAAAAUCGUCAUGAGAAAGUCCAGGAGAACUGCAUUGAUCUUGUUGGUCGAAUUGCUGACCGUGGAGCAGAAUUUGUUCCCGCCAGAGAAUGGAUGAGGAUUUGUUUUGAGCUUCUUGAGAUGCUGAAAGCCCACAAAAAGGGUAUUCGUCGAGCAACAGUCAACACUUUUGGGUAUAUUGCAAAAGCUAUUGGUCCACAAGACGUCCUUGCAACACUGUUGAAUAAUCUCAAAGUUCAGGAACGUCAGAACCGUGUCUGCACAACUGUCGCAAUUGCUAUAGUUGCUGAAACUUGUUCUCCCUUUACAGUUUUACCAGCGCUGAUGAAUGAAUAUCGUGUACCUGAGCUUAAUGUUCAGAAUGGUGUUCUGAAGUCCUUGUCUUUCCUCUUUGAGUAUAUUGGUGAAAUGGGUAAAGACUAUAUCUAUGCAGUUACUCCAUUGCUGGAGGAUGCUCUCAUGGAUAGAGACUUGGUCCACCGGCAAACUGCUGCUUCAGCAGUGAAGCACAUGGCUUUAGGAGUUGCUGGACUUGGGUGUGAGGAUGCUUUGAUUCAUUUAAUGAAUUAUGUCUGGCCAAAUAUUUUUGAGACAUCACCACAUGUUAUUAAUGCGGUUACGGAAGCCAUUGAAGGAAUGAGGGUGGCUCUUGGAGCAGCAAUCGUCCUUAAUUACUGUCUUCAGGGGCUAUUUCAUCCAGCAAGGAAAGUGAGAGAGGUGUACUGGAAAAUCUACAAUUCACUAUAUAUUGGUGCUCAGGAUGCCCUUGUGGCUGCUUAUCCGAUGCUGGAUGAUGAAGAAAACAAUGUUUACAGUAGGCCUGAGUUGGUGAUGUUUGUAUGAGGCUGGAUCGUGUUUUAGAUGAAGCUAGGGAAGGUCCAGUGGGUUAAAUAUGUAAGAGUGGCUAGCUGUUGCUUUUCGAGCUGCUGCUGGUUUUCUUUAUAUGCUCUAAUAAGAGUUGUCUUGCGUUCUUGUAAUUCUCUUGAAUUCAGGAGUUAGAUUUGAAAAAAAUGUUCGUUGGGACUUCAACUAUUAGAAUGCUUAAUCUGUUCUUGUGUGAUUCAAUGGUGCGAAUUUUCUUUUUACCUAGCAUAAA